rnacentral:rRNA from 1 species
UGGGGAAUCUUGGACAAUGGGCGAAAGCCUGAUCCAGCCAUGCCGCGUGAGUGAAGAAGGCCUUAGGGUUGUAAAGCUCUUUCGGCGGGGACGAUAAUGACGGUACCCGCAGAAGAAGCCCCGGCUAACUCCGUGCCAGCAGCCGCGGUAAUACGGAGGGGGCUAGCGUUGUUCGGAAUUACUGGGCGUAAAGCGCACGUAGGCGGACUGUUAAGUCGGGGGUGAAAUCCUGGGGCUCAACCUCAGAAUUGCCUUCGAUACUGGCAGUCUUGAGUACGGGAGAGGUGAGUGGAAUUCCCAGUGUAGAGGUGAAAUUCGUAGAUAUUGGGAAGAACACCAGUGGCGAAGGCGGCUCACUGGCCCGUAACUGACGCUGAGGUGCGAAAGCGUGGGGAGCAAA